rnacentral:rRNA from 1 species
AGAAAAAAGUAAAGUGACACAUGUAUAACUAGGGUGGUGGCCAUGGCGGACGGCAAGCCAGCACGAUAUUUGGAGCGGAUUGAGUUAUCUUUGAAAGCCCGAUGUCCCUAGCGACAACGUAGCGGGGGUGCCUCAGAAAAGUGAAACAUCUCAGUAUCAGGGCGCCCUAUACCUAACCCGAAACUUAAAGUUAGGGAAAAGGGAAAUAAAACAACAGAAAAUAAAUCAAACGUGUCAAACCGCAAGUAGCGGCGAGCGAACGCGGCUAUAACCCCGUAUUAGAAUUCAAAGUCAUAUCAUUUAUUCAAUAAUUUGAUUAACUUAAAAAUAAUGAGUAAGAAAAUUGAACAUGGGUGUUCACACAUCCAAGGGAACUAGAGAAGCCCCACACCAAUAGAGAUAGAGUACUGUGAAGGAAAGUUGAAAGAGAAAAAUUGAAAUAGACCUUGAAAUGUGUCACUUAGAGGCAGUUGUAACACAACGUACCUUUUGUAUAAUGGGUCCACAAGAGAGAAGAUUUGGCAAGCUAACUAAUUACUGAUAUACCUUAUUAAUGAUAAUAUCAGAAUAAUACUUAUAAGGCGCAGUGAGAGCAAGGAGGAGCCCAAUUUUAUUGAGGGCCCCCCCUUACAGUCAAAUUGUUUCCCGAAACCAGGUGAUCUAGCCAUGGGCAGUUUAUUAAGGAACGAACCGGUGGUUGUAGCAAAAACCUCGGAUGACUUAUGGCUAGGGGCGAAACGCCAAUCGAACUUGGAAAUAGCUGGUUUUCUGCGAAAACUAUUGAAGUAGUGCGUACCUAAAAAACAAUAAAUUUGAUAAAUUAUUCAUUUGCUAACUAAAGACAGAUCCCUGACUAAACAUAGGGUUCAACUAUGAAUUUGAAUUUGAUAACAAAUUAGGAAAAGCAGACGGACCAUGGGCGACAAGGUCAAUGGUCGAAAGGGAAAAAGCCCUCACCAGAAGUUAAAGUCAUUCAAACAAAAUCCAUUUUAGUGUAAAAGAGGUGUCGGGUUUAGACUAUGAGGAAGUAGGCUUGGGGCCAGCCGUCUUUGAGAGAUUACGUAACAGUUCGCUCAAUGAACCUUUCCACCUCCAAAAUAUGGGUGGCUAAAUAGUAUACUAAAACUCUGGGGGCAUAUUAUAGAAUUAAAUUUAUAUAAUAGCCCGGUAGCAGAAACGUUCUGUGUAAAUAGAAAAAUAUAGUUAAAAAUAAUUUUAGAAUACAGUUUAAGCCAAAGCUGCAAUCAGAAGCGAUAAUGUGGACAUGAGUAAUAAUAUAUUUUUGAUCAUAGACCCCCCUAGGUUUCCCCGAAAUUAAUAUAAAAAUAGAACUUAGUUGGUUUGUUAUAUUCACUCGGGGGUUAAACAGCCCCUAAGAUUUUUGUUAAAAUUCCAUUUGGCAAUCAAUUAAUGGGGUACACACACGAUGAAUAAGACCGCCCUUAAAGAUUUGUAAGGGUUCAGGAAAUAUGUACAUCCAAAUUUAAUAUUCUAUUGAAUGAUAGAGAAAAAAGAUUAAUAUAUAAUGACUGUACUAAACUGAAAAAAGUGGGGGAAAAUGAAUGGAGACAAGUUUGCUUAAGGAACUCGGCAAAUCUGAAAAUACAAUAACUAUUCAAACUUAGUCAACCAAAUUAAGUAAGAAUAGUUAUAAAAUUGGGCAUCGGCUGUUUACCAAAAACAUAGCCCUCGGCCAAUAUGAAAAAUAAAAGUAUUGAGGGUGAUGCCUGCCCUAUGGUUGAAACUUAAAGGGGUGGAUUGCAAGUUUGCCCUGUAAGGUCAAUUAAAUGGCCGCGGUAACUCUGACCGUGAUAAUGUAGCGUAAUCAAUAGCCAAUUAAUUGUUGGCCAGUAUGAAUGGCGCCACGAAUGCCCCACUGUCUUAAGCAAAUACCCAGUGAAAUUGAAAUCGUAGUGAAGAUGCUACGCCGUAAUUGUAAGACGAAAAGACCCCGUUGAGCUUUACUGGCACACUUUUUAUUGCCCUCUCUAUUCUUGAUACCUUGUUAGACUCCAAAUGUUGGACACUAUAUCAAAGAACCAAAAAUAGAAUUAAUUAACAUAAGCGGAUUAGAUUAAGUGGAGCGCCCCCUAUUAUGGGCAAAUACUAAAACAUGAAACACCACUCCCUUAUGACUAAAGGGCUUACCCCUCCUCAGCCCAAACGAGGCUGUGGGGAGACAAUAAAAGUCGGACAGUUUGGUUGGGGCGACCACCUUUUAAAAAGUAACGAAGGUGCUCAUAUGGUAGCAACAUCGCAUGGCAGGUCUACCUGACUGUGAGGGGGACACCCCGAGCAGACACCCCCCUCUGUCACUAAAUUUAGUGAUCGUAUGGGGGGGUGGGACAUAGAGACCCAUUGGUUUUGAGUGAAAAAGAUAGCCAAUGAUCAACGGAUAAAAGUUACCACGGGGAUAACAGCGUAAUAUUUUUAGAGAGACUUCAUCGACGAAAAUGUUUGCGACCUCGAUGUUGAAUUGCGACUUCCUGGGGUGCAGCCGCUCCCAAGGGUUGGUCUGUUCGACCACAAAUGUCGUACAUGAUUUGAGUUAAAAGCGUGGUAACACAGCUUGGUUUCUAUCUGCAAUUAUUUUAUAAAUAAAAUUGUGAUUCUA